GACGAACGCUGGCGGCGUGCUUAACACAUGCAAGUCGAACGGAAAGGCCCUGCUUUUGUGGGGUGCUCGAGUGGCGAACGGGUGAGUAACACGUGAGUAACCUGCCCUUGACUUUGGGAUAACUUCAGGAAACUGGGGUUAAUACCGGAUAGGAGCUCCUGCUGCAUGGUGGGGGUUGGAAAGUUUCGGCGGUUGGGGAUGGACUCGCGGCUUAUCAGCUUGUUGGUGGGGUAGUGGCUUACCAAGGCUUUGACGGGUAGCCGGCAUGAGAGGGUGACCGGCGACAUUGGGACUGCGAUACGGCCCAGACUGCUACGGGAGACAACAGUGGGGAGUAUGGCACAAUGGGCGGAAGCCUGAUGCAGCAACGCUGGGUGCGGAAUGACGGCCUUUGGGUUGUAAACCGCUUUCGCCUGUGACGAAGCGGGAGUGACGGUAAUGGGUAAAGAAGCACCGGCUAACUACGUG
rnacentral:rRNA from 1 species